rnacentral:rRNA from 1 species
UACGUAGGGGGCAAGCGUUGUCCGGAAUCAUUGGGCGUAAAGAGCGCGUAGGCGGUCCGGUAAGUCCGCUCUGAAAGUCCGGGGGCUCAACCCCCGGGAGGCGGGCGGAUCUGUCGGGCUAGAGUCCGGGAAGAGGCCGAGUGGAAUUCCUGGUGUAGCGGUGAAAUGCGCAGAUAUCAGGAGGAACACCAAUGGCGAAGGCAGCUCGCUGGGACGGUACUGACGCUGAGACGCGAAAGCGUGGGGGAGCAAACAGG